UUUAUCUUGAACACUUCACAGUAAACAUACAAGAUAUGACGGGAAGAUCGCGAGUUGUUAUUCAUAAUCACAAAUAAAUAACAUUCUUAAUGUGAAUGUUUUGGACAAUUUCAAAAUGAGAAUCGAAAUAGUGAAAGGAGCUGUCGCCGAGAUUAAGACAGACGUUAUUGUCAACAGCUGCAAUCAGGCAUUAAUGUUAACACAUGGUGGUUUAUCAAAGUCAUUUGCCAGAGCAGCAGGCCCUGGUCUACAGACGGAAUGUUCAAAGACAUACCCGAAUGGAAUUUGUUUCGGAGAUAUAGCAGUAACAGGAGGUCACAGGUUGAAUUGCAAGGCUGUCUACCACGUGGCUUUGCCACCCUGGGAUUCAGAGUUCGUUGACGCUAUGGAGAUCCUGUGUCUCACCGUAUGUGCUUGCCUAAAUCGGGCGCAUGGGGAUGGCAUGACUUCUAUAGCUUUUCCCGCCCUAGGUUGUGGUUUCCUGGGCUAUCCACACGAUCGGGUUGCACGUGUAAUGCACGACUGUUUUGCUUCAUUUGAGAGAGAAACGACGUCUACCAAAUUAGAGCGUACCAUUAUUGUAAUCUGGCCCAAAGGAGCCGAAUGGAAACACAUUAAACAGGCGUUUGAGCAAGAAUUAAGUACAGACCGUAAAACAGUUCUUCCAGAAAGUAACCAGGACUUGAAACAAUCAUUGGUGCAAAGGAAAGGUGCAAUACAAGAUUUCUUAUCUACCUGUGUCCGGGAAACAAACAGAAAUUCAUGCAAAAAGGUUUUGGGUUGUGGUCAUAUAUGUGUGGGCUAUAGGAACGAACCAGCUUGCCCUCCGUGUAUACAGCCAGAAUGUGCCAGCAGCGACCAACACCAGACGUCACAGGAUGAUUGCAUUAUCUGCUACACCGAUCAUCUUGCUGCAGCGCCGGUUGUCAUGCUCAAAUGUGGACAUUUAUUUCACCUACAUUGUGUGAAGAGAAUAUUACAGAAUAGAUGGGUUGGUUCGAAAAUUAAUUUUAACUUUACUAAGUGUCCCAUAUGUAAGGAAUCCAUCGAGCACAGAGAGCUACAAGCUUUGCUGCUUCCAUUAAAAGCUCUUCAAGACGACGUGAAGCACAAAGCUAUAUUGAGAUUACGUUACGACGGCCUGGAGAGAUGUAAAGAAAUUACAGAUCGGGGUAGCAAAUAUUUCCAAAAGCCUGGAGACUUUGCUAUGGACAGAUACAAAUAUUUUCUCUGUUUUAAGUGCAAAAAGGAAUUGGUAACUGUUUUUACACCGAUUGAAGGCUUAUUUUGGUGGUACUACCCGAACUGAAUGUGGAGCGGAGGAUGAUCAGUUUCAACCAGAAAACUUGAUUUGUCCAGACUGUCGUGGCUAUAGAAGACUGAGGCAGUUACCAGAUGCAGCCGUUGCGAAGGCGGUACAUUCAAAGGAAAAUGUUCAAGCACAGAAAGUUAUCCAAGAAACAACCAAGGCCUGUCCUCACUGUGGAGCGCAUACAGAGAAAAAUG
rnacentral:misc_RNA from 1 species